AUUGAACGCUGGCGGCAGGCUUAACACAUGCAAGUCGAGCGGGGUGAUGGUGCUUGCACUAUCACUUAGCGGCGGACGGGUGAGUAAUGCUUAGGAAUCUGCCUAUUAGUGGGGGACAACAUCUCGAAAGGGAUGCUAAUACCGCAUACGUCCUACGGGAGAAAGCAGGGGAUCACUUGUGACCUUGCGCUAAUAGAUGAGCCUAAGUCGGAUUAGCUAGUUGGUGGGGCAAAGGCCUACCAAGGCGACGAUCUGUAGCGGGUCUGAGAGGAUGAGCCGCCACACUGGGACUGAGACACGGCCCAGACUCCCACGGGAGGCAGCAGUGGGGAAUAUUGGACAAUGGGGGGAACCCUGAUCCAGCCAUGCCGCGUGUGUGAAGAAGGCCUUAUGGUUGUAAAGCACUUUAAGCGAGGAGGAGGCUCUUUUGGUUAAUACCCAAGAUGAGUGGACGUUACUCGCAGAAUAAGCACCGGCUAACUCUGUGCCAGCAGCCGCCGUAA
rnacentral:rRNA from 1 species